GGGGAUCUAGCUCAGUGGUAGAGCGCUUGCCUAGCAAGCACAAGGCCCUGGGUUCGGUCCCCAGCUCCA
rfam:Rattus norvegicus chromosome 20, whole genome shotgun sequence.